GGGUGCGAUCAUACCAGCAAUAAUGCACCGGAUCCCAUCAGAACUCCGAAGUUAAGCUUGCUUGGGCGAGAGCAGUAUUAGGAUGGGUGACCUCCUGAGAAGUCCUCGUGUUGCACCCCUC
rnacentral:rRNA from 1 species